AGUGAACGCUGGCGGUAGGCCUAACACAUGCAAGUCGAACGGCAGCACAGUAAGAGCUUGCUCUUACGGGUGGCGAGUGGCGGACGGGUGAGGAAUACAUCGGAAUCUACUUUUUCGUGGGGGAUAACGUAGGGAAACUUACGCUAAUACCGCAUACGACCUACGGGUGAAAGCAGGGGAUCUUCGGACCUUGCGCGAUUGAAUGAGCCGAUGUCGGAUUAGCUAGUUGGCGGGGUAAAGGCCCACCAAGGCGACGAUCCGUAGCUGGUCUGAGAGGAUGAUCGGCCACACGGGAACUGAGACAGGGUCCAGACUCCUACGGGAGGCAGCAGUGGGGAAUAUUGGACAAUGGGCGCAAGCCUGAUCCAGCCAUACCGCGUGGGUGAAGAAGGCCUUCGGGUUGUAAAGCCCUUUUGUUGGGAAAGAAAAGCAGCAGGUUAAUACCCCGCUGUUCUGACGGUACCCAAAGAAUAAGCACCGGCUAACUUCGUG
rnacentral:rRNA from 1 species